rnacentral:rRNA from 1 species
GCUAAUANUGCAAGUCGAGCGAAUGGAUUAAGAGCUUGCUCUUAUGAAGUUAGCGGCGGACGGGUGAGUAACACGUGGGUAACCUGCCCAUAAGACUGGGAUAACUCCGGGAAACCGGGGCUAAUACCGGAUAACAUUUUGAACCGCAUGGUUCGAAAUUGAAAGGCGGCUUCGGCUGUCACUUAUGGAUGGACCCGCGUCGCAUUAGCUAGUUGGUGAGGUAACGGCUCACCAAGGCAACGAUGCGUAGCCGACCUGAGAGGGUGAUCGGCCCCACUGGGACUGAGACACGGCCCACACUCCUACGGGAGGCAGCAGUAGGGAAUCUUCCGCAAUGGACGAAAGUCUGACGGAGCAACGCCGCGUGAGUGAUGAAGGCUUUCGGGUCGUAAAACUCUGUUGUUAGGGAAGAACAAGUGCUAGUUGAAUACGCUGUCCCCUUGACGGUAACUAACCCGAAAUCCACCGUUAACUACGUGCCAGCAGCAGCGUUAAUACGUAGGCGG